CCUAUCAUGGAGACAGUGUAUUGGACAGACUCCACGUCAGUUCUUCAGUACAUCCAGAAUGAGAGUCGCAGAUUUCACACAUUUGUUGCGAAUCGCGUUUCAAGGAUACAGAGUGGAUCUGACCCAUCCCAGUGGCGGUACGUGGACACAGCCAGUAACCCGGCGGAUGAUGGCUCACGAGGAUUGACUGCAGACGCCAUGAUCAAGAACCAACGAUGGCUGAACGGACCUGAUUUCCUGUUGAAGGAAGUACAACACUGGCCACUCCCACCUGUUGUAAUCAAGGGGCCCUACCCAGAUGUGCUACCCGAUACUCUGCAGAGUGAUCCCGAGGUGAAGAAAGUUGUCCAGUCUUACUCCAUAGUUGAGAAGGAUUGUGUACAGGAGUUCCUGAGUAGAUACUCAUCCUGGAGUCAAAUGAAGCGUGGAGUUGCCUGGUUGCUGAGAUAUAGAGACUACCUCUAUGCUCGUGCCAAGGGAAGACGGGAUGCCAGCGAAUUCUGUUGUAGGAGACUGUCUUUGUCAGAGCUGCAGAGAGCAGAGAGAGAAGUCGUCAAAUACACCCAGCGUCAGUCGUUCCGUAAGGAGAUUGCUGUACUUGAGGCUCAUGCAGAUAUAACCACCAAGAAGAGUAAGAAAGGUCCAAAUGCGCUCCACAAAUUGAGCCCCAUUUUGGUGGAUGGAAUUCUCCGUGUAGGUGGACGCCUUGAGAAUGCACCAAUCCAACAUGACAUCAAGCAUCCGAUUAUCCUGCCGAGCGAUCACCAGGUGACGAGGCUGCUGAUCGAACAUCAUCAUCUCAAGGUUGGUCAUUCAGGGGCAGGUAUGACAUGGACGUCACUAAGAGAGAGAUUUUGGAUACUGAAGGGAGGAUCUACAGUGAGGCGAGUGAUUGGAAAGUGUUUCCGUUGCAAGAAAAGAAAUGCACCCCUUUGUCAACAGCUGAUGGGUGAGCUGCCAGCAGAUAGAGUCACUCCAGAGAAGCCCCCCUUUACGUACGUGGGCGUGGAUUACUUCGGUCCACUUUACGUAAAACAAGGACGCAGCCAUGUCAAGAGAUACGGAUGUGUCUUCACGUGUCUUACCAUGAGGGCCAUACAUAUAGAAAUUGCUCACUCACUUGACACAGACGCCUUCAUAAACGCUUUGCGGCGGUUCAUCAGCAGGAGAGGUACACCAGAAAAGAUCAGGAGCGACAAUGGUACCAACUUCACGGGUGGAGAGCGCGAGUUGCGGGAGAGUAUUGCAUCACUGAACGAGCAGAAGAUUGGAGACUAUCUUCAUCAACGAGGAAUUGAGUGGCAAUUCAACCCACCAACGGCAAGUCAUAUGGGAGGAGUCUGGGAGCGGAUGAUACGCUCUAUUCGAAAAAUCCUCAAGAAUCUCCUUCAAGAACAGGUGGUAUGUGAUGAGGUGCUACUUACCGUGAUGGCUGAAGUGGAGGCUAUCUUAAACGCGAGACCGCUCACACAGCUCAGCUUGGACCCCCGUGACGAUGAGCCAUUGACUCCAAACCAUCUACUUCUGAUGAGACCAAGCUUCAAUGCUCCACCAGGGGUAUUUGUGAAGGAAGAUGGGUAUGGGCGGCGCAGAUGGCGUCAAGCGCAAUUCUUGGCAGACCAGUUUUGGAGGCGAUGGAAGAGGGAAUACCUACCACUUUUGCAGCAGCGUCAGAAAUGGACCCAGCCAAGACGAGACCUGGAGGUGAAUGACCUUGUGUUGGUUGCUGCUGACAACGAGCCCCGUGGACAGUGGCCUCUCGGUAGAGUGAUGCAAGUCUACCCAGAUAAGGAGGGACGAGUUCGCCAGGUCGAGGUGAGAGUAGGCACUAAGUACCUCAGGCGCCCCAUUGCCAAGCUUUGCUUCUUGGAAAGAGCUAACAGCAUGUGAAGUUUCAUCAGUCAAUGAACAUUUGUGAUUGAACUCUGGCCAAGUGAACAUUCGUGAUUUGUUAAUGAUCAAAGAAGUUGACUCUGAAUGUGAUUCAUGUUUUUCGAAAUCACAAUCAUUUGGAAAUUGUAGUGCAUUUAAUUAAUCCCUGAUGCUUUGAAAUUGAAGUGUGCCGCUUAAAGGUGUAGAAAAAUGAACAGAUCGAGUCAGUUCAUGGGGCUGGGGAUGUAGCGGCGAGUUGUGAAAUUUAAUUUGGGUUUAAAUCAUAGUUGUUAUUUCAAAGUGUUUUCUAAACUUUAAUUUAUGAUCACGCAUACCUUUGAUUGGAAAUAAGUUUGUUGCGGUAAAACUGUGCGUACGUUAAUUGUUCCCGUACUUUCGUAAUAGCGCCCUCUUGUGAUAUGGUGCAUUUUGUAAGGUCAAAGUGUAAAUUCUUCAUGAUUCCGAUGAUUCGUAAACAAUGAACGUGUACCAAAUUUAUCUCCCCAAAUAAAUGUAAAAUUAUCAGGUUUUCUAAGUCCCAAAUGUUGUAGUUUCGGAUCCAACACAAUCGUGAACCACCACCACCACCACCUCCAUAAGAACCAAAUACAGCAGCAAUAAAGUACAUGCCUCAGGGUGCGUUCAGAAAGGGACCGAAUAAAAACACUUCUGUAGCAAAUGACGUUUGCAA